rnacentral:rRNA from 1 species
AUGGAUUACCAAGGAAACAAUCUUAGUGAUUUCUUUCAAGCUAAUGGGCAUUUGGUACUUAAAAGAGUGGACAACAACUAUAAACUGCGGUCCUUCACUGAAAAGGAGAUAGAGCACAUUACAGACAGAUAUAGCACUUCGCUUGGUAGUGGCUUGUUCGGUGAUGUCUACAAAGGAAGAUUAGACGAUCGACGUCCAGUCGCAGUAAAGAGGUACAAAAAUGGAACCAAGAAAGAGGAGUUUGCCAAGGAGGUGAUAGUGCAUUCCCAGAUAAACCACAAGAAUGUUGUCAGAUUGUUAGGCUGCUGCACGGAGGAAGAUGCCCUUAUGAUUGUUAUGGAGUUUGUCUGUAAUGGAAACCUCUACAACAUCCUUCACUGUAGCAAUGCUGAUGGUCCUAUACUCUUCCCUUUGGACAAACGUUUGGACAUCGCCAUUGAAUCAGCUGAAGCACUAUCAUGCAUGCAUUCAAUGUACAGUCCUGUCCUUCAUGGUGAUAUUAAACCUGCCAAUAUACUGUUGGAUGAAAAGUACUUGCCAAAGCUAUCUGAUUUCGGAAUAGCAAGGCUGCUUUCUACUCAUGAGGCCCAGCGUACCAAAACUGUUAUUGGUUGCAUAGGUUAUGUAGACCCUUUGUUUUGUCAGAGUGGGAUUCUAACUACAAAGAGUGAUGUAUACAGUUUUGGAGUUGUUCUAUUGGAAAUGAUUACCCGAAAGAAAGCGACGGACGGCGCUACUAGUCUUACUCAAUGUUUCGCCGAGGCAGUGGGAAGAGGGAAGAAGGUGAGACAACUGUUUGAUGCGGAAAUUACCUAUGACAAGAAGAAGAUGAAAUUGGUCGAAGAAAUUGUGAAGCUAGCAGUUACAUGCUUGAGACUGGAUGAUAAAAUGCGUCCGACAAUGGUUGAGGUAGCAGAUAGACUUAGGAGGAUUAGAAAAGCUCUCCCGAAGCACAAGGGUGAAAGCUCUACAGGCUCCCCCUAUGCGGACAUCAAUAAUUGGCACAUAAGAAGAGGAAAGGCACAGGAUGUACCAACUAUUUCCCUUGAUGAAAUGAAGAAAAUAACAAGGAACUUCAGUAAUGGUGCUCUAAUAGGAGAGAGUUCACAAGGCAGAGUUUUCUUCAAAGUGUUAAAAUAUGGACCGGAAUCUGCAUUCAAGUCUUCUCAAGAAAUUGAUUUAAAGGUUGAAGCAAUUCGAGACUGA